AAGUGUCACAGCUCUUUUAGAAUUUGUCUUGCAGGGUUUCUGGCUUUCAACGGGAAACAAAA
ensembl:snRNA U7 U7 small nuclear RNA